UUGGCUCGUUCUAUAUGGUCAGUCAUCCAAAUAGCUUUUGGCUUGUAUCCUCCUUGUAGUGUUGCUAAUAUAUUUGGCAAUUGGUUACAUGGGAUUGAUCACAGGUUCAGAAUUCUACUUAGGAUGGGAGCGCUUGCCGUGAUUUGGUCGCUUUGGCUAUGUAGAAAUGAUAAGAUUUUUAACGAUAAAAGUACAUUGCUUAUGCAGGUUAUCUACAGAUGUACUGGGACGCUUCGUUUAUGGUCCUCUCUACAACGAGUGGAGAAUCGAGACAUGUUUACGGAGGUGUGUACACGAUUGGAGGCUACGGCGAGGGAUACUUUUACCCAACAUGGGUGGCAGCAUGAUCUUAGUAUUGGGCCACCGAUGGUUUAG
rnacentral:rRNA from 1 species